UUUUUUUUUUGCUUUUUUUUUUUUAGGGCCGCAUGCGUGGCACAUGGAAGUUCCCAGGCUAGGGGUUGAAUCAGAGCUUUAGCUGCCAGCCCAUACCACAACCAUAACAACACCUGAUCUGAGCGGCAUCUGUGAACUACACCACAACUCAGAGCAAUGCCAUACACUCAACUCACUGAGCAAGGCCACGGAUCAAACCAUAUGCUCAUGGAUACUAGUUGGUUUAAUUACUGCUGAGUCACAAAAAAGAAAAAGAAAAAAACAGAACAUCCAUUUAUUAUCUCAUAGUUCUGUGCAUCAGAAACUCAGGUGAGCUCUGCUUAGUUCCCACAAGGUCAAAAAACAAGGUGUCUUGGUUGGCUAGCUCUUUCCUGAAGGCACUGGAGAGAAUCUGCUCUAAAAUCACACAGGUAGUUGGCUGAAUCCAGUUCCUGCAGCUUCAGCCCAUGAGAUGGUAGGGAAUUAUAAACAAAAUCUUCUUCUGACCCAGAAAAUUCCUACACAAAGGUGAAAGAGAAAGGAAAUAGUUCCAUUACUGAGUACAUGCUAAAUCAGAAUGUGAUGUGCACCACAGGCAACCCACAAAAGAAAUUGCAAAGGCAGAAAGAAAUCUCGUCCUUUUGUAGACCUAGGUAGACAAAACUCUUAAAAGUUCUGACUCCAAUUUUCAGUUUGUUGAGGAAGUUUCUCCACAGCACCAAGCAAUGCUCUAACACCAGUUGGUUGUCCUAAAUUCAACCUAAUUCUCACACUAAUUGCCUAGAGAUAGUAUCAAAUCCUACAGGUUAGAGUCUGGCCCUAUAAGACUGCACCCUUCUCCUGCUUCAGAUGCCAGUCUUAAGUCCAGGUUGUCACCUGUGCUUCUGACCAAAGAAUUAUAGAUCAGAGGUUUCCAUGACCCCCUCCCUUGGCUUCAGACAUGAGUUGAAAGUUUAGGUUGUUACUUGUACUUCUGAAAAACUGGCUAUAUAUUAAAGUUUCCAUUGUCCCCUCCUUGGGCUUGAUUAAUUUCCUAGAGCAGCUGAAAGAUCUCAGGAAACCCGUACACUCACUAGAUUACCAGUUUAUUACAAUGGAUAUUAAAGAAUAUGAAUCAACAGUCAGAUAAAGAGAUAUGUAUGGUGAGGACACAAACAAAGGAUCUUCUGUCUAAACUGGUCCUUUUUGGUUUUUAUGAAGGUUUCAUUAUGUAAGCGUGGUUGAUUAGCUUAUUGUCAAUUGGUAAUUGAUUUAACCUCUAGCCAAACUUCCCACCUUGGAAAUCAGGAGGUGGGAUUGGAAAUUCUAACCCUUUCUAGGUUGGUUUCCCAGACAACCAGCCUCCAUCUUUAAGAGAUUCCCAAAAGUCACUUCAUUAACAUAAACCCAGCUGGGUGGAAAGGGACUUGUUAUGAAUAAUUAAACACCUAUGUUAUCAUUAUGGCUCUGAAGUAUUUUCAAGAACUGGGGAUAAGAAAACAAUUAUUUUUUUUUAAUUUUAUGACCACACCCAUGGCAUAUGGAAGUUUCUGGGCCAGGGAUUGAAUCUGUGCCACAACUGGGACAUAAUCCACAGCUGUGACAACACCAGAUCCUUUAAUCCACUGUGCCAGGGUGGAAAUUGAACCUCCUGUGCCUCCUCCACCACAGAGAACUGAGCUGCUGCAAUUGAAUCCUUUUUUUCUUUAAAAAAAAUUUUUUUUUGCUUUUUUAGGGCCACACUUGUGGCAUAUGGAAGUUCUCUGGCUAGAGGUGGAAUCAGAACUACAGUUGCAAGCAUACACCACAGCCACAGCAAUGCAGGAUCUGAGCUGCAUCUGUGACAUAUACCACAGCUCACAGCAACUCCAGGAUCCUUUAACCCACUGAGUGAGGCCAGGGAUUGAGCACACAUCCUCACAAAAACUAGUUGGGCUUGUUACUGCUGAGCCACAAUGGGUAGUUACUGCAGUUGGAUUCUUAACCCACUCUUCCACACUGGACAUUAAGAGAGACUAAAUUUUAAUAAGAAAAGAUGAUUUCCUUGCUGUCACUGCCAGAAGUUUGUGGGGGCUAUAUGCCAGAAAUUGUGGACAAAGACCACAAUUUGAAAUACAUUUUGGUGAUCUGACUGACCAAAUAUUUAUAUUUCUUACAAAAUUUUCACUAUUAUAUCUGUGUUUUCAAGAUAAAAAUGCUAAUUUUUUCUAUGACUGGUGGUAGGGUUUAAAAUUUGGAUUCAGAUAACAGCUGAAUUUAGCUCUGUGUCCUCCCUCAAUGUGGGGAGAGGGGGCACAAAGGAGAUCAUUCCAUAUCACCACACAAUAUGCCACUUUGGCAUAAGAAUUAUUUUGAGCUAAAGGCAUCUGAGGAUUGGAAAUCCCUUAUGUAUCUAAAGCAGAGCCUCCCCAAAGCAUUCAAGUGUCAUAAAUUGCUUUCCCAGAGCAACCUUAAUCUUCCCUUCUUAGAGAAGUCAACACCACUCCCAGACAGAAUUUGUCACAAACUAUCCAUCACACUUCUGUUCUUCUAAGCGCACAUUUAUCUUUCCAAAAAGUCUUCUGCUUUUCCAUAAGCUCCAUACCUCCCUUCCCUUUUCUCUCCUAAGUUAGGUGUAAGGAUCCCGAAUUCUAACAACACCUCUGAGUGCUCCCUUAUUCAUGUUGUGCAAGUUAAUCAACUUCUGUUUGUUUUCCCCUUGUUAAUCUGUCUCUGGCUAGUUGAAUUUAUAGGGCUCCAGCUGGAAGACAGCCCAAGAUAGGUAAAGAAUUUCCCCCUUCCCUACAGGCACUGUCUUCCUUGCUACAUUUCAAAGAAAUGGCUCCUUGAAGAAUGGCCCUUGAAGCAAACAUCCCUGGUUGUGGGACUGGCCAGAGAGUUAGUUAGCCUUUGACUUUAUAAUGCAAAUCAAUGUCAAGCCUAAAACUGCUCUUUCCAUAAGUAUUGAGAUAAAAGUGGCAUGGUGAAUUUGUUGUGGAAACUGCAAAAACCAUGGCAGCUGAAGCAGAAAAAUGGCACCCAGAGAUAUGGAAAAGCAAGCUUUAUUCAGCACUGGUGUGGGCUCAGAGGAUCACCUCCAGAGUCUGAGCACCAGGUCUUUGUUCUCAGCAACUUUCAUACAUUAUAAGGUCUUGAUUUUCCCUGUAAGCAUCCCAGACCUCCCCCCUUCCCCAAGCAGACAGUGUUCCUCCCUAAGAAACUGAGCAAGUAAGGUUACAGAAGUGGAACUGAUAAGCAAUGCUGGGUACAUGAUUAGCAGGGCUGCUGGCUUGGACAUAGUGCUCACGGUUGCUACAUUAUUACAAGAAGGGUGAUAUGAGGUGAGCAUAGCUGGAAAGGCCUGCAGCUGCCUUUUUAGCCAAGGGGGUGGGGGUUGUUCCUUAGUUAAAACUCUUAUUUCAAACUGACAGCAUCACCUUUUCUUUCCUGCUGAUACACAGAAAGUGGUGCAGGAUAGUGUGUCUUCAAGGGAAGCAGUCUGGAACAAUGAAACUUGAUCUCAUCUCUCUAUUAACCACAUAAUAACUACAGAUGUAUGGAGAGGUCACUGUUCAGCCCUCGGAUGGGCAUGGUCUCCUCAACCUCACCCAGGAGGUGGAAAUGGCAUUUGAAGGGGCACAAAGUUUGCCACCCCAAAAUGUCUCUCUGGCAUGUGGAUGAUGUUGAGUUGGAAGCUAAUUAAGACCCAAAGACUCAGGAAGAAAUAAUGACCUUCCUCAAACUGCUGAAGGAAUUUUGAUUGAGGGGCCAUUACAGGGAGGGAACUAUUACCAUCGAUGACGAUAGUAUGAGGGAGGUGUGGUUGACAGGGGGAAACUAACAAAGUCUGUCUUUUAAAAUUACUCUCUGUGCCCCACUGUUUCUGCAGGACAUAGCAAACAUUUAUUUACCAACCAUUUGCUUUCCUAUCUCCCUGUAAAUUGUCUUCCUCCCCUUUGAAAUUCCCAAACCACUGUCCUGACAUCCUCUUUUUUCUUCAGCUGAAGAUGGUAUUUAAGGUGAGGGUUUCAGCCAUUUCGGUGAGUUACUCAGUUUUCCCGGGUCUCUCCCAUGUAUACGUGUCAUUAAACUUUUGUUGAUUUUCUCCUGUUACUCUUUCUCAUGUCUAUUUAAUUCUUAGAUCAGCCAGAAAAACCUAAGAGGGUGGGGGGAAAUCUCUUCCUCCCCACUGAUGCACAAUUUUAGCCAUCCUAAGAGUUUAUUGAAUGGGUCAUGGAAUAAAGUUCAUAAAUAGAUGCUGUAGUGGGUUGAAUUGUGUCCCUGCCAAAAUGCCUGUCAGUGAAAAAAUUCACCAAUAGUCAAUUAAGAAAGAAAUGGAAAAUUUUAUUUGCACUGGCUUGACAAUUAUUAUGUGGAGGACAGUCUUUCAGAAAACUUGGAGUACUGUUUUGAACAGUAGAAGUCAAAGCAUAAUUAAUUAUAUAGUUUCUGAGGCAAAGGAUUACAUAUGAAAUGACAUAUUGAUAGUUAGUCCAGACCUGCAUGCGGCCACUUGCAAGAUUAAGACAUGCAUGCUAUCUGUGAGAAAUGAAACAUUGCCUGCCAUAUCCGUAAACAAAGGAUGUCACAGUCAUCAGUGAUCGCAGCCAGCUUUGGUGGUGAGCCCUGAGGGAACUCAGGAAGGAAACAAAGAAUAACUACCAUCUAGCAGCCAUCAGACUGCAGCCACUCCUGAUGGUGAGGCCUGAGGAACUCAGGAUGUGAAAACAGGAUACUGGCCCCCAUAGCUGAGGUGCACAUCAAAGAAAUGAUUUCAGUGAGCCCAGACCCUCAGACCUUGCCAUACAUAGAAAUGCACUAAAUUCCUGAAUUUGGGAUGUCUGGCUUCCUUUUAUUAGCAGUAAUCUUAAGCUCCUGUUACCUGUCUUUUGUUAUAAAACACCUAUGUAUCUUAGCUCCCCCUUUGCCUCCUCAGAGCAGUUUUCUCAGGGUUACUUCAGAUAUUUCCUCCCAGGCUUAAUUUCUCAGUUUUGUCCACCAAAUGAAAUGGAAUGCUCAACUUUUAGGUUGUGGAUUUUUUUUUUGGUGGGGGGGGGCAACAAUUCCUAGAGAUGUACUGUGCUGUUGCCAGGAGAAAACUGCUCUCCGGAUCAAGCAGACAUUCCUGUUUCUUCUAAGGAAGUCUCGUUAAUGUAUAAUGCAGAUGCACAAUGCAUACUAAAGGGGAGGAGAUAGUCACCCACAUGACAGAAUUUUACGUUUAAAUUUUUUCCCGUUUUGCCUUAAAAAUCUUUUUGUUUCAUUGUAUGUAAAUAGUACCUUAAUACAAGAGUUGACUGGCCACUCCAGUCACUGACUACCAUAGUGCUCCUGAUUCUAAACUCUGAAAUGGUGGAUGUGGAGAUAGUUUUUAUAAAACUCACCCUGUCUUUGCAUGAAGAUCUUGACUGCACAAAACAUUUUCGGACUCCUAUAGUGUCCUUGUUUUCUAUGUUCAUCAUACGCUGAGGUGGCCCUGCCAUGCAAGAAGGUGUGCUUGUCCUUCAGCCCUUGUGUUGCAACUCCACACCCCCUGUUGUGGGCUGAAGGGGGACCCCAAAAACAAGUGUUCAACUCCUAAUCUCUGCAACUGUGAAUGGAAACUUCUUUGCAAAUAGUGUUUUGCUGAUUAAGGUAUGGAUCUUGAGGGUAGAUCAUCCUGGGUUAAGGUGGCCCUGAAUCCGGUGUCCCUGUAAGAGAAAGGAGAGGGAGGUUUGAGACACAGUGUC
rnacentral:lncRNA from 1 species